GCCGCAAAAAUCUCGAUACGAUGCCGGCGGCUUGCCUGCUCCUGCUGGGCUGCAUGCAGGCUGCUCCCAUCCGCGAUAUCCCAAACAAAAUAGGAAUCAAAUUAGUGCCGGGGAGGAGAGAGGAUGCUGGAAAGUAGUCGAGCAGUCGUCCCAACAUAUCAGCCCACGUCCUCCGAUGUCGCCGCCGCGUCACCGUGGCCGCCUCUUCGUCAUCGUGCUCGUAGCCAGCCUGCCCACGAGCUCAAGGAGAUCUUCCCGUUCCCGUCGCCGCCCUGAGCUAUAUCUG